rnacentral:lncRNA from 10 species
UUUAGGGAGAGCUAACAUGCACCUCCCUCCUGCCCCGGGGACAUUCCAUCCUCUGGAAUGAAAAUGGAGAUCCUAAGGCCCGAAACCCGGUAUCUCUUACUAGUGGAGCAGGAGCACUUGGGGUACAUUUCGAGCCGAGGUAGAAGCAGUGGGGCAGGUGGGAGGCAUGGUGGAUUCCAUGAAGCGGGCGAUCAAUUUAUAGUUAGAGGAGGGGGCCGGGUGCAGAGCACCCCCUCCCCCACCCCCACGCGGAAUCCGCGGCGCCUGCGGUCCUGGGUUGGGAUGUGCGCAGCAGGCGAGUCGGGAGCACCAUCCCCUGAGCGCAACCUGGUGGGCCCCCUGGGGCCGCCCCUUUGGCGCCCGCUAGUGCGGGAGGGGCUAUGCUCCCGGAGGUACGUGGCGCCCCUGCCACCCUGAGAGCUAUUUUCUAUUCCCAGGUGGUCGCGUUAUCCUCAUCCCCCGCCCUGCACCUUCGUCAUCAGCUUUGCCUCUCCCGUGUCCGUGUGUAGCUCCAUCCUCGUGCUCGCCUUCUUCAUUGGCGGAAGCUGGGAGCCGAGAGAGUGAGCCGUGCGCAGAUGUGCGGCGGUGGAGGUGGCUUUUGUUUCUCCUCCGCGCCCCCUCCCCCCCCGCCCCGCACAUUGCCUGUCGCUCUUCCCACCUAGGACCCUCAAACUGGUUCCCCCUGUACACAGAACCUGGCGACCACGGAUCAUCCCCUCUCUCUUCCUUCGAUGCGAUCAUAUAACAUUUAGAUUUUGCCAGGCCCCUUUAAAUCAUUGCUUCUUUGAACCCUCCCAACAAUCCUAAAGGGAAAUACUGUUUAUGAACCCGUUUUACUAAUCUGACAAUUAUAGCAUAAAGUUUAAGUAACUUGCUCAACAUCACGGAAUGGAAAAGUUGUCACUGAUUUGAAUCCAGCCAGCCUCUCAAGAGAAAGUGUCGAUGAUCAAGCCUUCCUUUGGCCCAGGUUACAUGAAGGUCAAAUGACAUGAAGAAUGGGAAAGGAUUUUAUGAGUGUUCAAAUGUUGGGGGAGCGUCUUAUCACAGAGGACUUUCUGCAGGAGGACAUCCACACUCCUCCUGUCACUGGAUCAGCCAGGAACAUCACCACACUCAGCCAGCUGCACAAUCUGCCAUAGCUGUGUUCUGAGAACUUCUGUAAACAAAGUAAUAUUAAUUAUGGAGAUGAUGAAAUCACAAUCAAAAUUCCAAACUAAGUUCAUCUGCAACCCACGAUCACACUACAUCUUGGCGGGAAUAUGCUGGUUUGAAGUAGUCAAGGGCUGGAGUUUGAAAGAGGAACAAAUGAAGCCUGACCUUGGGAGGAACUUCCAAAGAUUCUGAGCCAACUCCCAACAGGGAGCUCUCAGGAUUCAGCGAGUGUCCUGAGUGUGCUGUCUGUCUGUGACGCCGGCUAGGCCAAGCCUGAUGGUUCCUCAUGAGAAUGUCCUGGCCUGUGCUGCUGAAGGUGUGGUCCACAGUGGGGUCAGUCUGCUGUUUCCAGUCUCCAAUGCAACUCAUCCAUGAACAUAUGUGCAGAGUUUGUAAACCUUCCAUUUUUCUGUUAUUUCUGUAUGUAUUUAUUGAUUUUUUUGUGUAAAAUGUAAAACAUGGGUUCUGUAUUUUGUGUUUCAUUAUCUUCAUAGUUAAUAUUACUUUAUUUACAAAGGUUUAGGUCUGGGAUGGAUAGAAAAUGAAAACUGUCCCUUCACCGUGGAGUUUGAGAAGCCCCGUGGAGGAUUCAAGUAAUUUAGGCAUUGGAAUCCACCUCCUGUGGUCACUUUCAAGCCUAAAAUCCGCGGAGGAUCUGAACUUGGGCAGGGAAACCUGAGAAUAAACAUGAGGAAUGGAGAAGUCUCUGUACCACGUUUAAUGAGUGGAGCUGAUCGCGUAUGUCCCCAUCCCCAUAUCAUCCAGCACAGUGCAGGUGCCUUUUACAG